GUGAAAUGUCACAGGAGGUGGCAGAAGGCUUGCAGUGUUUCAUAGGUGAACUCUAGAGCAGAAAAAAGGAAGGAAGAGGAAUUAUCUUUUCAUCUUCUAUCUAUCAAUUUUGGGGAUUCAUUGACAAGAUGGGGAAAAGACGGAUCAUAUCCUUUUUCCUGAUUCUAACAGUUACAUGCAGUACUACAACUGGCGACCAAAAUACAACAAGUGUUGCUCCGACAACAACAACUACUGCCCCAACAACAACAAAUACUGCCACGACAACAACAAAUACAGCAGUAACUACAACAACUGCUGCUCCAACAACAACAACAACUACUGC